ACCUGGCUGGCUCAGUCGGCAGAGCAUGCGACUCUUGAUCUCGGGGUUGUGGGCUCAAGCCUCACGUUGGGUG
rnacentral:tRNA from 1 species